AUGAAGGCCGCGGCCUCGCGUACCUGGAGCGGAAGCGAGUCUACCCACAGAGACCUCCUGGACUACGCUUCCCAGAAUUCCCGACAGGAGCCGGGAGGUCGUCUUGGCGUCCUGCAGCGGAAGUGUUCCCGGACUACACUUCCCAGAAUUCCCAGGCCGCCUCGUCGCCUUCCUGGGACGGAAGUGCGGGCUGUCGCAGGGAGAGCAUGGGUCCUUGUUAACAGCGUGCGGUUCUGGCGUGAAUUCCGGAGCCUGGAAAUGCUGCCCAAUGUACAGAACUUUUACAGACUGCUGUUAUUUUCUCCAGCCAGCCACACGUUCAGAGCUUGUUUCUGGAUCCUGAUGCGUCUGACCUUGUGGACUACAAAUCCCGGCACACGCAUGCAUCUAAAACUGCCCAUGCUACCUACCCUGAGCUGUUCAUCCCAAGAUCCACAAGAAUGGACGUGGAUGCCAAGAAUUCAUAAGAAUCAGAUGCAACCAUUGAUCAGGACUUAAAGCAGAAGCAACAAAUGUUUCCCACAUUUCCUUGGCUCUAAUUGCUGAUUAUGAAACCUGAGUCAUAAGGCAAAUGGAAGCAACUGUAUUGAUAGAUAUAAAACACUGUAAUAUGGGAAGGAAUUAAGACCUUUACAAGAUCUUAAGUUUUUUCUUUAGCUUUUUAAAAAAAGAUUUUAUUUCUUUAUUCAUGAGAGACACAGAGAGAGAAAGGCAGAGCCAUCAGCAGAGGGAGAAGCAGGCUUCCUGCAAGGAUCCCAAUGUAGGACUUGAUCCUGGAUCCUGGGAUCACGUCCUGAGCCGAAGGCAGACACUCAACUGCUGAGCCACCCAGGUGUUCCCUUCUUUGAGCUUUUAAUAUCACAUCACUUAUUUUUCUCCUCCUCUUGAUAUAAAAACUGUAAAUUGUCUUAUGGAGGAUGUGACUCAAGGAGGACAGAGGAUGAGGUAAUGACUUAAUCCAGAAAAUUAGCAGAAAGGGAAAAAAAGAGAAGAGCAAGUUUAAUUUCCCAGUUUCCUCCUGAAGAAGAAAUCUAAAUUGUUUUCCUUUAUGCUGGUACAUUAAUUGUAUUUGAUAUUAUGUGUCUUGAAUCUCUUGUAAUCUAGAACAAUUUCCUUUUCCCUUUUUUUGUUUGCCCUUGACCUGCUGAAAUAACUAGCUCAGUAGUCAUGUAGGAUUGCUCACAUUCUGGAUUUAUCUGAUGGCUCUUCUGGAAUCUGUUUUCCUGAAAUGACAAUUUUUUCAUUAAACUGUAAGGUAAAGCCUAGAUUUUUAACAAUAAUAAGUACAAUGUGGUGUUGAAAAUAGCAGAACAAGAUCCAAUACAAUGUCCAGCUGAAACUACUCAAAUGCUGGGCAAGUAUUCUCACUGAGGAGUGAAAGAAAAAUGACCUAACAGCUGUUGAUACAAAGUGAAGAAAUCUUUUACAAUCUCUACAGGUAAGAAAGAGAGUUUUAUUUAAGCCCAAGUUAGUACAGCUGUUCAGGAAACAUGUUCUUUACAGGGGAAAAAGUGUUGUGGAGAAUGAACAGUUUUCAGAGGAUUAUUAUACUUUUUUUUAUAUCUUGUGAAAGCUCAAAAGGUUAUAGGUUAGCAUAAAUGGAGGAAUCACAAGUUUUAACAUCUAAGAAUGCAGAGAGUAGGAGCACUGAUCAGUGUCUUAAGGACAAGAUGGUUUCCUUUAGGCUACUCAUUUAGAAAGCAUUUGCACAAUGUAUCCUUGGUGGGCCAUAAACUGGGCUCUGGGUUUAAGCAAAGUUUAUGUACAGUCAUGCUGACUUAGGAAGAAAUAUAAAAUGGCUUCCCUUAUAUCUCAGGCUUUUAGAGAGUUUUGUUCUCUCAUCAUAUCCAUUAUAUGAAAAUGGUCAGUGGUUUAAAGGACCAGAACCAAUUUAGGAAAUCAUACAGGGUGCCAAAUUGCAAACAACAAGAAACAACAGAUAUUGGUGAGGAUGUGGAGAAAGAGGGACUCUCUUCCACCAUAGGUAGGAAUGCAAACUGAUGCAGCCGCUCUGGAAAACAGUAUGGAGUUUCCUCAAAAAAUUAAAAAUAGAGCUACCAUAUGAUCCAGCAGUUGCACGACUAGGUGUUUACCCUAAGAAUACAAAAAUACUGAUUUAAAGGGACACAUGCAUCCCAAUGUUUAUAGCAGCAUUAUCAACUAUAGCCAAAUUAUGGAAAGAGCCUAAAUGUCCAUCGAUUGAUGAAGGGAUAAAUAACUUGUGGUAUGUAAAUACAAUAGAAUAUUCCUCAGUUAUAAAAACAAAUGAAAUCUUGCCAUUUUCAGCAACAUGGAGAUAGAGUGUAUCAUGCUAAGCAAAAUAAGUCAGUCAGAGAAAGACAAAUACCAUAAGAGUUCACUCAUAUGUGGAAUUUAAGGAAGAAAACCCAGAUGAACAUAGAGGAGAGAAACAAACCAUAAAACAGACUCUUAACUAUAGAGAUCAUAUAGAAGAUUGCUGGAGGGGAAGUGGCGGGGAAGAUGGGUUAAAUGGGUGAUGGGCAUUAAGGAGGGCACUUGUGGGAUCCCUGGGUGGCGCAGUGGUUUAGCGCCUGCCUUUGGCCCAGGGCGCGAUCCUGGAGACCCGGGAUCGAAUCCCACGUCGGGCUCCCGGUGCAUGGAGCCUGCUUCUCCCUCUGCCUGUGUCUCUGCCUCUCUCUCUCUCUGUGUGACUAUCAUAAAUAAAUAAAUAAAUAAAUAAAUAAAUAAAUAAAUA
rnacentral:lncRNA from 12 species